GACGAACGCUUGUUGCGUGCUUAACACAUGCAAGUCGAACGGAAAGGCCCUGCUUCUGUGGGGUGCUCGAGUGGCGAACGGGUGAGUAACACGUGAGUAACCUGCCCUUGACUUUGGGAUAACUUCAGGAAACUGGGGCUAAUACCGGAUAGGAGCUCCUGCAGCAUGGUGGGGGUUGGAAAGUUUCGGCGGCUGGGGAUGGACUCGCGGCUUAUCAGCUUGUUGGUGGGGUAGUGGCUUACCAAGGCUUUGACGGGUAGCCGGCCUGAGAGGGUGACCGGCCACAUUGGGACUGAGAUACGGCCCAGACUCCUACGGGAGGCAGCAGUGGGGAAUAUUGCACAAUGGGCGGAAGCCUGAUGCAGCAACGCCGCGUGCGGGAUGACGGCCUUCGGGUUGUAAACCGCUUUCGCCUGUGACGAAGCGUGAGUGACGGUAAUGGGUAAAGAAGCACCGGCUAACUACGUGCCAGCAGCCGCGGUGAUACGUAGGGUGCGAGCGUUGUCCGGAUUUAUUGGGCGUAAAGGGCUCGUAGGUGGUUGAUCGCGUCGGAAGUGUAAUCUUGGGGCUUAACCCUGAGCGUGCUUUCGAUACGGGUUGACUUGAGGAAGGUAGGGGAGAAUGGAAUUCCUGGUGGAGCGGUGGAAUGCGCAGAUAUCAGGAGGAACACCAGUGGCGAAGGCGGUUCUCUGGGCCUUUCCUGACGCUGAGGAGCGAAAGCGUGGGGAGCGAACAGGCUUAGAUACCCUGGUAGUCCACGCUGUAAACGGUGGGUACUAGGUGUGGGGUCCAUUCCACGGGUUCCGUGCCGUAGCUAACGCUUUAAGUACCCCGCCUGGGGAGUACGGCCGCAAGGCUAAAACUCAAAGGAAUUGACGGGGCCCCGCACAAGCGGCGGAGCAUGCGGAUUAAUUCGAUGCAACGCGUAGAACCUUACCUGGGUUUGACAUGGAUCGGGAGUGCUCAGAGAUGGGUGUGCCUCUUUCGGGGUCGGUUCACAGGUGGUGCAUGCCUGUCGUCAGCUCGUGUCGUGAGAUGUUGGGUUAAGUCCCGCAACGAGCGCAACCCUUGUUCACUGUUGCCAGCACGUUAUGGUGGGGACUCAGUGGAGACCGCCGGGGUCAACUCGGAGGAAGGUGGGGAUGACGUCAAGUCCUCAUGCCCCUUAUGUCCAGGGCUUCACGCAUGCUACAAUGGCUGGUACAGAGAGUGGCGAGCCUGUGAGGGUGAGCGAAUCUCGGAAAGCCGGUCUCAGUUCGGAUUGGGGUCUGCAACUCGACCUCAUGAAGUCGGAGUCGCUAGUAAUCGCAGAUCAGCAACGCUGCGGUGAAUACGUUCCCGGG
rnacentral:rRNA from 1 species